rnacentral:rRNA from 1 species
UGAUAUUCAUAGCAUAAUGGAACCACUCCGAACCAUCCCGAACUCGGUUGUUAAACGUUAUAGCGGCAAUGAUACUUAAGAGGAAGCUCUUUGGAAAAGUAGCUCAAUAUCAGGACU